rnacentral:miRNA from 1 species
CGCUGAAAUUUCGAUCAUAAU